rnacentral:lncRNA from 1 species
UUCCGUAAUUACAAAAACAAAAACAAAAAAACAAAAAAAAAGCAAAACACCUAGACCUUGGGUUGCAAAGCACUACCUCUAAGUAGACUGAACUAGCUGUACGAGACUUGAGGUCUUCAACAUAGUCCUGGGGGGCAAGACCAGCCUCCCUUCCUUCUGUAGACCUCUCAGUCUUACCUCUGCAUCCAUAUUUCUUCUUUCUCUGACAGGACCAAACUCAGCAACAAAGUCAGAGACAAAAAAAGGCAAGUCCAGAACCUGAUCACAUUUAUCACUGUUGCAGAUGGAUGCAAACAAACGAGUUUGAAACAGGAAUAUCUGGAAGACAAAGGAGUGACUGACUCAAAUAUGAUGAAAACACAAUGACCUGUUUCACAAUAACUACCACAUGGAGAACCUCACAACCUACGAAGUGUCUACAUGUACAUGUUCUCCUUUGAUCCUUACGAGGUAAAUCCUACUUUAUAGAUGAAGUAAAUGAAGCCCAGACACAAAAGGAAGUAGAACUAACAUUUAAUAAGUGUUAUUAUAUGCUGGGUGGCUUUUUAUAUAUUUGUCACCUCAUUUAAUGUCCAUAAUGAAUAUAUAAGAUAGGCAUUAUUAUCAUCCCAGGACACUGAGGCUCAGAAAGAUGAAGUAAUUUACGCAAAAUCACACAGCCAGUAAGGACAACUUUUUGCUAUACUGUACAUUUAAAAAAAAAAUUUAAUGUUUAUUCAUUUUUGAGAGAGAGAGAGAGAGAGAUAGAGUGUGCGCAGGAGAAGGGCAGAGAGGGAGGGAGACACAGAUCUGAAGCGGGCUCCAGGCUCUAAGCUGCCAGCACAGAGCCUGAUGUGGGGCCUGAACUCACCAAUGGUGAGAUUAUGACCUGAGACGAAGUCUGAUGUUUAACCAACUGAGCCAGCCAGGCACCCCUGCUGUCCUGUACAUUUAGUCUCCUCUGUUGAACUAGAACUUGUUCAGUUACCCAUAAAAUGCUUUGACAUUCACCCCAUACUGGCAAAAAGGGUUUAGGGUGUUUUUGUCUGGCCUGUUUUAUUGGAUUUUAAUGCCAGUGGAAAGUCAGAUGACCAAAAAUAGUAGCCUUUUACAGUUCCCAAUUUGGGCAUUUAAGAGUGAAUGAAAAGGAACGUGAAUUUGAGGAAAUAGCAG